rnacentral:rRNA from 1 species
AGUGAACGCUGGCGGCGUGCUUAACACAUGCAAGUCGAACGAGAACGGAUUAUAGCUUGCUAUAAUUGUCAGCUAAGUGGCGCACGGGUGAGUAAUGUAUAGGUAAUAUGCCUCUUACUAAGGGAUAACAAAUGGAAACGUUUGCUAAUACCUUAUACUCCUUAUUAACAGAAGUUAAUAAGGGAAAGAUUUAUUGGUAAGAGAUUAGCCUGUAUUGUAUCAGUUAGUUGGUGGGGUAAUGGCUUACCAAGACUAUGACACAUAACUGGUUUGAGAGGAUGAGCAGUCACACUGGAGCUGCGACACGGUCCAGACUCCUACGGGAGGCAGCAGUGGGGAAUAUUGCACAAUGGACGAAAGUCUGAUGCAGCAACGCCGCGUGGAGGAUGGCACAUUUCGGUGCGUAAACUCCUUUUAUAUGAGAAGAUAAUGACGGUAUUAUAUGAAUAAGCACCGGCUAACUCCGUGCCAGCCGCCGCAGUAA